UGUUAUUAAUUAUAUUUUUCUAAGGGAUAGAACAAAUGAUACCACAAGCAAUCCUUUUGAAUUAUAGUUCAUGAAGAUGAGAUGGACUUCAUUUCUAUAACAUUUCAACAAGCUCAGCCAAAAGAAAAAUUAAUGGGAAUGCAAGCUUCAUAUGGAGACAGAUCUCAGUGUGUGAUGCUGCCAAGCAAAAUAGAACUUUGAAGGGAAAAGCAGCAUAAUAUCAAUUCUGCUAUGUGUUCUAAAACACUACUGAGUGGGCCUCUUUGUUUGGGUCCUGUUGUCACUUGUCCUCCUAUGGUGAAACUGUCUACUAUAAAGUGGGCUUGAAGAAGGUCACACCAAGUAAGCUACUAGGCACAGUAUCAAAUAAAAGCAAUUGUUUUGCUAGCUCCAGUCAGGAGAUCAUCAGUUCAGCCUGCAAAGACAAGGCAUGGUAAUCAAUUCCUUUUGAGUGAAAAACAAAGGCCAAGGU